rnacentral:rRNA from 1 species
UACGAAGGGGGCUAGCGUUGUUCGGAAUUACUGGGCGUAAAGCGCGCGCAGGCGGCUAUCCAAGUCAGUGGUGAAAGCCCGGAGCUCAACUCCGGAACUGCCAUUGAAACUGUUUAGCUUGAGGAUGAGAGAGGUGAGUGGAAUUCCCAGUGUGGAGGUGAAAUUCGUAGAUAUUGGGAAGAACACCGGUGGCGAAGGCGGCUCACUGGCUCAUUACUGACGCUGAGAAGCGAAAGCAUGGGGAGCGAACAGG